rnacentral:rRNA from 1 species
UACGGAGGGUGCGAGCGUUGUCCGGAAUCAUUGGGCGUAAAGGGCGCGUAGGUGGCGGGACAAGCGUGCGGUGAAAGCCUGGGGCUCAACCCCGGGUCGGCCGUGCGAACUGUUUUGCUUGAGCACUGUAGAGGCAGGCGGAAUUCCGGGUGUAGCGGUGGAAUGCGCAGAUAUCAGGAGGAACACCGGUGGCGAAGGCGGGUCUCUGGGCAGUAACUGACGCUGAGGAGCGAAAGCGUGGGGAGCGAACAGG